rnacentral:rRNA from 1 species
GGUUUACCUGUGUGACUGCGUACCUUUUGUAUAAUGGGUCAGCGACUUAUAUUCUGUAGCAAGGUUAACCGUAUAGGGGAGCCGGAGGGAAACCGAGUCUUAAUUGGGCGUUAAGUUGCAGGGUAUAGACCCGAAACCCGGUGAUCUAGCCAUGGGCAGGUUGAAGGUUGGGUAACACUAACUGGAGGACCGAACCGACUAAUGUUGAAAAAUUAGCGGAUGACCUGUGGCUGGGGGUGAAAGGCCAAUCAAACCGGGAGAUAGCUGGUUCUCCCCGAAAGCUAUUUAGGUAGCGCCUCGUGAAUUCAUCUCCGGGGGUAGAGCACUGUUUCGGCUAGGGGGCCAUCCCGGCUUACCAACCCGAUGCAAACUGCGAAUACCGGAGAAUGUUAUCACGGGAGACACACGGCGGGUGCUAACGUCCGUCGUGAAGAGGGAAACAACCCAGACCGCCAGCUAAGGUCCCAAAGUCAUGGUUAAGUGGGAAACGAUGUGGGAAGGCCCAGACAGCCAGGAUGUUGGCUUAGAAGCAGCCAUCAUUUAAAGAAAGCGUAAUAGCUCACUGGUCGAGUCGGCCUGCGCGGAAGAUGUAACGGGGCUAAACCAUGCACCGAAGCUGCGGCAGCGAACGUAUCACCCAAGACAACUUUACGGAGUUGACGAUUGACGGAGCGAAGCGACGUCAAAGCGUUCAUUAAAGUCGAGUUGGCUUAGGGAUACGUUCGUUGGGUAGGGGAGCGUUCUGUAAGCCUGUGAAGGUGUGUCGUGAGGCAUGCUGGAGGUAUCAGAAGUGCGAAUGCUGACAUAAGUAACGAUAAAGCGGGUGAAAAGCCCGCUCGCCGGAAGACCAAGGGUUCCUGUCCAACGUUAAUCGGGGCAGGGUGAGUCGACCCCUAAGGCGAGGCCGAAAGGCGUAGUCGAUGGGAAACGGGUUAAUAUUCCCGUACUUGGUGUUACUGCGAAGGGGGGACGGAGAAGGCUAUGUUGGCCGGGCGACGGUUGUCCCGGUUUAAGCGUGUAGGCUGGUUUUCCAGGCAAAUCCGGAAAAUCAAG